UUUGGAAUAUUUUUAGAAGGAAUGGUACCAGCUCUUCUUUGUACCUCUAGUAGAAUUCGGCUCUGAAUUUGGUUCCACUCUCCCCAUCACUUUCAGGUACACCAACCAAAGGAAAAACAUCCAGGCAAGUGGACAGCAUUUGCAACAGCCCAGCAAUAAGAAGGACCAUAUUCUACUUGGGAAAAGGUAAAGUCGUUUCAUAUGGACGGAGGUGAGUUCAAGGGGGAAAAGAAAUGGAACUUGCCAAGUAAGUGGAGGCUGGCUCUUAAAGUUUGUUCUUCAGGCAAUGGGGAGCCAUUGAUAAGAUGUUAGUUAGAGAGUGCUUAUGUUAAUUCUCAAUUUAUUAUUAAAAUACUUUGAAUAUUUUAGGAACAUAUUUCGAGCUCUACACAUACUUCUUGUAUUUUGGUGGUCUUGAAGUCACAGGGCAGAGCUAGGAGUUAAUUUCAGUUCCAACUCAUGGUAUGACUUAGCAAGUAAAGUCUUAUUUUAGGUCCUUAGUUUUCUCAUCUCUAAAUGAAGAAAAAGAAAAGCAAGGGAUUGGCAAGCUUAACAUGCUCAAUAGUUUUUCUUUGCUGAACUAUUCCCGGAGGGUCAACCAGCCUUCAAUAGGUGUGAUUAAUAAGUUACAAAAGAUAAAUAGAGUGUCUUCAAAGAUUUUAUGUUCCUUAUUUAAAUUUUACCUGUCUUUACAGCCUGCCAGGAAACCUGUCAUUCAACCCUUUGCAAUAAAACAGCUCCUCAUGAAUGAAGCAAAAUAAAUCAGAAGUUGUGGGCUUUUAAACUCACUAAAUGAAAGCACAGCAUGCAUGCAGCCUCCCUCCAAAUUAAUCACCAGAUUAAAUGCAAGAUGUGCACACCAAAUCAAUAGCUUGUGACGGGGACCUCCUGCCUGUGCUUCAGGAAAAUUCCAUUUCCUUUCAGAUGUUGUCGCUUGAAAUGUCAGGAAGUUUCCAUUCAUCACCCGCCCUUGAAAAUGCCACCAUCACCAUACUUCAUGUUUCCUUGCUUUCUUUCUUCAGAGGAAUCCAAGCACCUUGCAGAGGGAGCCCACUCCUUGUCACAGACUCUCCUGGAGGCUGAAACAGGGGCAGUCUGCACAGAGGAGAGGUGUAGAGAGGCGCGAUUUAGAAAUAAGAAAACCAAAUCGUAAAGAAGCCUAAUGUCUUGUUGCAACAUCUGAAAGAAACAAGAUGAAUAUAUUCCACUAGGUGGGAAGCUUAGGGUAGUGGGAAGAACAUGGAUUCAGGACUUUGAGAAACAUGGAUUUAAAUUUUGAUCCCCAAUGCCUCUCUGCACUUCACUGUUAUCUAUAAAAUAGAGGAAAUAAAAAUACUAUACAUUCAAGUCUUAACACCAACAGUUAACUAGUUGUGUAACCUUGGACAAGUUAUGUGACCUCUCUGUCUGAGCAUUGUCAUUUGUAUAUGAGAUCAUGGAGGUUAAAUGUCCAACCUGUUGUCACUGUGCACCUCAAAAUAAUAAAUAAAACAUUUCAUCUCUCAA
rnacentral:lncRNA from 1 species